UACGUAGGGUGCAAGCGUUGUCCGGAAUUAUUGGGCGUAAAGAGCUUGUAGGCGGUUUGUUGCGUCGACUGUGAAAUCCCGAGGCUCAACCUCGGGUCUGCAGUCGAUACGGGCGGACUGGAGUUCGGCAGGGGAGACUGGAAUUCCUGGUGUAGCGGUGAAAUGCGCAGAUAUCAGGAGGAACACCGGUGGCGAAGGCGGGUCUCUGGGCCGAUGACUGACGCUGAGGAGCGAAAGCGUGGGGAGCGAACAGG
rnacentral:rRNA from 1 species